AAGAGACCUCAUGAUGCAUAUGAUAUGAAUGUAAAAUUUAAUGCUCUGAAGAAAAAGAAAUCAAAGAGACCGAAAAUCCGCAGGAGCACAAUGCAUUCCGUAAGGAAAACUCACUGGGGGGACAUAGACUCUGGGGAAAAAGGAGUUAUGCGUAGGCCAGGCUAUGACUUAAAACUACUGGGGGACUAGAGGGAUUCCACACAAACAUGGAAAAGAC
rnacentral:lncRNA from 1 species